GACGAACGCUGGCGGCGUGCCUAAUACAUGCAAGUUGAGCGCUGAAGGUUGGUACUUGUACCAACUGGAUGAGCAGCGAACGGGUGAGUAACGCGUGGGGAAUCUGCCUUUGAGCGGGGGACAACAUUUGGAAACGAAUGCUAAUACCGCAUAAAAACUUUAAACACAAGUUUUAAGUUUGAAAGAUGCAAUUGCAUCACUCAAAGAUGAUCCCGCGUUGUAUUAGCUAGUUGGUGAGGUAAAGGCUCACCAAGGCGAUGAUACAUAGCCGACCUGAGAGGGUGAUCGGCCACAUUGGGACUGAGACACGGCCCAAACUCCUACGGGAGGCAGCAGUAGGGAAUCUUCGGCAAUGGACGAAAGUCUGACCGAGCAACGCCGCGUGAGUGAAGAAGGUUUUCGGAUCGUAAAACUCUGUUGGUAGAGAAGAACGUUGGUGAGAGUGGAAAGCUCAUCAAGUGACGGUAACUACCCAGAAAGGGACGGCUAUCUACGUG
rnacentral:rRNA from 1 species